rnacentral:rRNA from 1 species
GACAGAGGUGCCGAGCGUUAGGCGGAAUCACUGGGCUUAAAGCGUGUGUAGGCGGCCCGUUAAGUGUCCCGAGUGAAAUCCCCCGGCUCAACCGGGGACCGCCGGGCAUACUGGCGGGCUUGGGCCGCUCAGGGCAGACGGAACAGGCGGUGGAGCGGUGAAAUGCGUAGAUACUCGCCUGGAACGCCGAAGGUGAAACAGUCUGCUGGGGCGUGCCGACGCUGAGACACGAAAGCCAGGGAG